UUUGAAGACUGAGCCAGACUGCGUCUUUGCCGAUUCUUUUUCGGAACGAUUUUCUCAUCUCUGAUGUUGGUUACACUUCUUGCAUGACAUGGAAAAUAUCCGCAGUUUCAGAAUCAGGAAAUAUGGACAACCCUUUGCAUUAUUAUGUUUUUAUUUUCUUAUUUACAGUGUACAAAAACUUAAAAAUCUAGAAACAACUAAAAAUAUCGAUCACAUUGUGCAACCACUGCAGGACAAUACAGUUUGGCGAAAUUCAGCAAGAUCCUUAACAAAUUCUGGAAAUCCUCGAACUAAAACUGGGUGAUGAGGUACUAGCUGAGCAUCACACAUUACACCCAAUCGGAUAUGGUCUGCGUAUUCGUUUAUACAGAGAGAUAUACCUAUAGAACAGAAAAAAUGUAAAUUAUGUUAUAUAUUAAAUUAAAUUGUUAUAUGAAAUAUAUUUUUGCUAAUGAAGAACGUUUCUCAUACAAUAAG